GGCUGGCAUCAGGUAUAAAGCUAAGCCGGUGCUUCUCUGAACUAUUCCUCCCAUGCAUUCAGCGCAAAGCAGCAGUAAAUGCUGGCACUCUGCGACGGACUGAUUGGCAAGAGUAGAUCAUAUGACAGCCACAGCGCGGCAGUUUGUUUUAUUCCGGCGUUGCGGAGAGAGGUGCUCGUGUGAUCCCCACCAGUGAGAGUAUAGCGCCUCCGGUCCUGGGGGUUUGAUUGCUGCAUUCACCUCUCCGUGGCAAAUCGCCCCAACCUAAAUCGGAAGAGUGAAACUCCUUCCCAGCCGCUGUUGUGAGGGCUCCUCCUCAGUGGAGCCUGCUGUCUUGUCUUGUCUGGUUUUGAAUUGUUUUAUCUUGUCUUAUUUGGUUUUAUUAAGUAGGCCUACCAUUUCCUGGUUCGCCUGGUUUUAUUUUAUUUUAUUUCUGAACUGUGGCGUGUGGCCACGCUUCUGUGAUCGGGCUGAAGCAAUCCUUUGCCCGAGUGUCAUGCCGGGAAUUUUAAAUUGCCUCCGUUGCUGGUCUUAGCCUGUGGGGAGCCAGACCAGCUGGCGAUUGAGGCUGGGACGACUACUACCA